GGUCCAUUGCAUCCAUGUGCACUGUUUCACUCUGCUUCUCAGCUGAAGACAGGGACAAUGAAAUAGUUUUGCCUACAGGCUCCCAAAGGCACAGUGGUAUUACAGCCAGUAUGAGUUGGUACACACAACCUUCCACCACAGACAUUUAAGCUGCCAGUGUGUAAAGACAUCUGGUGAUGGAACAAAGUUGGGGCAAGGAAACCAUUACUACCAAGUGGCUCAAAGAGGAAGGCUUCCCCUCUGCACCUGAUUGACAGGCUCCUCACAAAUGGCAGGGAGAAGGUUCAGAUGCCUGCAGCCCUGCUCCCCUCCUCCUCAGCCCACCUCCAGUCCCUUAAUGCAGUCCUUGGAUGCUGCACCAGGACUAUGUCAUGCUUCUCCAAAGCCAGGUGAG